UAACUCAUCAGCUUGUUAGGGAGACAUGUUUACCAUUUUGGAAGGAGGCUGAUAAGUUGAAUCAGGUGUUUUAAAUAAGUUUUUGGGAGGGGGUGCUCGAGGACCAGGAUUGGGAAGCACUGCGUUACACGCUGUUUUGUUAUGCUGGUGAAUGUUUAUAGCUGAUAGUGACGAGCCCCCUGAUUUCUUCUUCAGUCCAGUUUGCAGAUAUUUCUCAUUGUGAAUGUUAAUCUGCAUUUAAAUCUGCCAUGUCAAAGGGGAAAAGGCUAUAUUUUUGUCGUGAUGACACAAUAUUUAUGUUGACUAAUUAUCGACGUUGAAAUUGACACCGCCGAUUCUAUCGACCAAACGCAACAGCUCUAAGUCUAGCAUACACAUAAUUGCAUUCACUAACCUUUGCCUCAGGUUAUAAAUAACUUAAUAAUCACAACUAUCCACUACCUAAAAAGCUAUGAACAGCAGUCAUGCAAAUUUUCUCAAUUUGCUUUUCUAUUUCUACUUGCAAUUAUGUGAGCUGCAGUCUAGAUCCUGCCUCUCUGUCAGAUGACCUAACACAAAUAGAAAGAUGACAUCGACCCUUGCAAGGACUUCAGACGAUGCCAGCACUGGACUACAUACAGUGGUAAUCAUGGGUGCCCAAACUUGUGCAUGUCCCUGUACUGAUAUAUACUAUACAAAUAAUAUUUUCAGUAGUCGGUGUCAAAUUUUAUUUCAAGGUAAGAUAGCUUUACAUGUUUUUUAUUGUGCUUUAGUGAUCACACAGGCCCUGUUUAUGUUCUUAACCGGCAUGAGUUUAUUUAUUGUGAUAUACACAAAACAAGAUAUUUUGAUAAAUGAUGUUAAGUACACAGCUGCUCAUUUACUUCAAUAAAAUGUCUUUUUCCUAUUAUGGAAGUCAAUGGGUACCAUCAACUG